CCCCCGUUGUCAUUUAGAAGGUGGCAGUGAACUGCCUUGAUGAACUCUUUGCAUGGGGUAGGGUGGUAGCCGUACCAUACCGGCAUGCGGUAACGUAGUGGUUAGCACGGCUUUAUUACGGCGUCGGAAUUCGGAGUUCAGUCCCGGCGUCCUCCCCGAGAAUGAGUGGGUUUUCUCCGGCUCCUCCGGUUUCCUCCCACAGCCCAAAGUCUGGAUUGGGUUUGUGCAAUGAACCAGAAUUGGUAAAAGAACCCUUCGGAGCAAAUGUUCAUAAUAUGAUCAAAUUCAAAAUUGGAAAAGAACACUGGUAGGGCGAUGGCAGAGCAGCGUGGCUGGAAUUUCUGGAAGCAAUUCUGAAGACACAGGAUAUAUACAUCCAAAGAUGAAAAAGUAUUCCAAAGGAAAGAUGACAUAACUAUGGUUGACAACAGAAGUCAAAGCCAGAGAGAGGGCAUAUAACAGAGCAAAAAUUAAUGGGAAGUUAGAGGAUUGGAAAGUAUUUAAAAACCAACAGAAAAGUCAUUAAGAUAGUAAAAACGACAUACAAAACUAAGCUGGACAAUAGUAAAGAGGAUACCAAAAUUUUCUUCAGGAUUGAAGAGAUGGGGUGCUCCAAGUGUUUGCAGAUGGAUUGAAAUUGUUAACCUACCUGUCUCACGGUGGUAUCUGCCUGUUGUUUAAAUGGUUGCUGGAUGGCAUUGAUGAUGUAAUGAAGAUCCUGUCUCCCACUGUCGUCUCAGGAUUUUUGUGAUCUGUGUGUUCUUAUGUCUGCAUUGAAAUUGAUCUUUGGACUGUAACAACUACUGUUAAUGCCUUCAGUUUCCUGGGAGUCAUUACCUAAACUUUACCACCUCUUUCUGCUUUUUUCAGUCUAUCUUUUUUGCUCUGUUUAGUUGCUUUUUGCUAAGUAGCUAUAUCUGCUUUAGGGUUACAGGUUAACAGCAUAGGUCCAGGCAUGGCAGACACUACUUUUGGGAAUGGUUAAAAUCUGCCUGUAUCAUCAGUUUAGUAAGUUAGCAGGUGAUCCCAUUAGUCAUGCUGAGUAAAAUUUAGAGAAGGCACGGCAUGAAGAUUCCUCCUAGCUGAUGAACUUAACUAGGACAGUCUUGGCUUAAGUCUUGCCUCUCUGACUGGAGCCCUGUGACUAGUGGUGGACUGCAAGGAUCGGUGCUGGGUCUGCCGUUGUUUGUCACCUAUAUCAAUGAUCUGGAUGAUAAAGUAGUUAACUGUGUCAGCAAAUUUAUGGAUGAUAUGAAGAUUGGGAUUGUAAUGGACAAUGAAGAAGGCUCUCAUGGCUUGCAGCAGGAUCUGGACCAGCUGGAAAAUGGCAGAUGGAGACAAGUGUGAGAUGUGGGAGGAAUGUGCAGCACCCAGAGGAAGAAC